UACGUAGGGGGCUAGCGUUGUCCGGAUUUAUUGGGCGUAAAGAGCGUGUAGGCGGCCAAGUAGGUCCGGUGUGAAAACUCGAGGCUUAACCUCGAGAUGUCAUCGGAAACCAUUUGGCUAGAGUCCGGAAGAGGAAAGUGGAAUUCCUGGUGUAGCGGUGAAAUGCGCAGAUAUCAGGAAGAACACCAAUGGCGAAAGCAGCUUUCUGGGACGGUACUGACG
rnacentral:rRNA from 1 species